rnacentral:rRNA from 1 species
AUUGAACGCUGGCGGCAUGCCUUACACAUGCAAGUCGAACGGUAACGCGGGGCAACCUGGCGACGAGUGGCGAACGGGUGAGUAAUGUAUCGGAACGUGCCCAGUUGUGGGGGAUAACUGCUCGAAAGAGCAGCUAAUACCGCAUACGACCUGAGGGUGAAAGCGGGGGAUCGCAUGACCUCGCGCCAUUGGAGCGGCCGAUAUCAGAUUAGGUAGUUGGUGGGGUAAAGGCCCACCAAGCCAACGAUCUGUAGCUGGUCUGAGAGGACGACCAGCCACACUAGGACUGAGACACGGCCCAGACUCCUACGGGAGGCAGCAGUGGGGAAUUUUGGACAAUGGACGCAAGUCUGAUCCAGCCAUGCCGCGUGCGGGAAGAAGGCCUUCGGGUUGUAAACCGCUUUUGUCAGGGAAGAAAGGGGCGACUCUAAUACAGUUGCCUCAUGACGGUACCUGAAGAAUAAGCACCGGCUAACUACGUGCCAGCAGCCGCGGUAAAAC